UCUUAGUGAAUCACGUAACUAGGGUUGUGGAUAAGGAUUUAUACUGAAUAGUGGGGUUGUGGCAUGGGAGUGCAGUGGAUUCAGUUGCAUGGAAAAUUAGGAAAUCAAAGUUUAAUGGGAAGGUUGAAGUACAAGUUAGUGAUGAAGCUGUUGGUCUCAGCAAAUUAAAGGAAUUGAUAGAAUGUAAUUGCCAGAAAUUGGGAAUAAAAAGAAGCAGUCCUGAAGCAGUGUUCAUGGAAGGAGUCCCCAGAGCAGCGUGAGGGAAAACGAGAGUCCUGGAACUGCACAACUUAUCUUGGUGCAGCUGAGUGUCUGGUGGAG